GAUGAGAACGUAGCGAAAUGCGAUAAGUAAUGUGAAUUGCAGAAUUCAGUGAAUCAUCGAAUCUUUGAACGCAUCUUGCGCUCCUUGGUAUUCCGAGGAGCAUGCCUGUUUGAGUGUCAUUAAAUUCUCAACUACACUGAUUUUUUUUGGUUGGUGUAGAUUGGAUUUGGGGGAAUUUUUUGCGGGCUUUGUAAAAUGAAGUCGGCUCCCCUGAAAUUAAUUAGUGGUACCUUAGUAGAACUGUCUACAGGUGUGAUAAUUUAUCUACACCUCAGAUGUCUGCAUGAAAAAGGUUAUGCUGCUUCUUAACCUCACUAAUGAUAAUCUUGACCUCAAAUCAGGUAGGACUACCCGCUGAACUUAAGCAUAUCAAUAAGCGGAGGA
rnacentral:misc_RNA from 1 species